UACUUCGUCACGGCGAGCGGGAGCUGCAGUGGCUGCCGGCGUGGUGAGGGCCGCAGCCUCGCCGGCGUCCAACUUCUAUUAGCGACUGCGAUAUUGGCCUUCCUCGCCAGCGACACCACGAAAGCAGCGUUGCAAUUGGCGGCAGUUUCUUGCGCCAUUAGAGGCCAAAGAGUUACAAGGCCGAGGAGGAGCUUCAGGUCCAGCUUCAGGAUGACGGGCUCCACUGAUUUGGGUGCUCCUGUGAUAUAUUUUGGAGGAAACGUUCCUGAUGAGAAACAACCAUCGGGUAUGCUACUUAAUUUUUGUCUCUCUUCUAGAUUUUUGGCUCCUCACGGUGUUGCUCUCGAUCUGUCCGUCCUGCAAUUCUGUGGUGCCAGCGCCACUGGUGCCUGUAUGGAUUCGGUGGUUGUUGCCAUCUUCUGCGUUUUAGGCCUCAACAAGAAGAUGAGUCAUGGGGAACGGUAACAGAAAGGAAGAAAGAACGAAGCCAUGGAUUUAUUCACUGCUAUCAUGGGUAACGGUUUAGCAGAUGAUCUUGCUGAUCCUCUUAUAUCCAUGAGGGACAAUUAUCUCCUUUUUCUUCCAUCAUUUGCCUUUAUACCAGUCCCUGCGAAUGUUAAUCCUGCAAGAAGUGACAUUCAUUACACUUCCACUACAUCUACAUGAUUCUGCAGGUACGUUUUUCAUCUUAAAUAUCAUCUCAAUCCUUCAUGGCCAAUUGGUCAUACAUCGAACUUCUCCAAUUUUAUCAAGUUAACUUUGUUUAUAAACAAAAAGGUUAGUUUAUAUUUACCAAUAGAUGAUACUGAUUAUAUGUUUGUAAUACUUGGGGCUGUGGAUUUUUUUCUUCACAUAUCCUUUUCUAUAUAGAUCCGUUUGAUGCUCUAUAAGUUUAUAUAUUUAACUACAUGCCAACGGAGGAAAGUUUCACCCAUUUUUUCUCAGUUGAUCACAUCUUCAAACCAUUUGUUGAUUAGGGGGAUAGGAGUGAAUAUAAAUGUGUGGUUUGCCAGGAUGACUUGAUUAGUUCACAACGCAAACCUGCUUGAAUAGAUUGGAUUGGAAAUGUGCAUUAUGGUACUUCAACUAUUUAGAUCUCAAGUAAUAUUAUUCUGCGCUGCUGCACAGCCCAUAAUUACUGUGUAUCAAUUUGAAAGUCUAGAAA